GUAAGGAAUAUUGGACAAUGGACGCAAGUCUGAUCCAGCCAUGCCGCGUGAAGGAUUAAGGUCCUCUGGAUUGUAAACUUCUUUUAUAAGGGACGAAAAAAGGCUUUUCUAAGUCGUCUGACGGUACCUUAUGAAUAAGCACCGGCUAACUCCGUGCCAGCAGCCGCGGUAAUACGGAGGGUGCAAGCGUUAUCCGGAUUCACUGGGUUUAAAGGGUGCGUAGGCGGGCAGGUAAGUCAGUGGUGAAAUCCUAGAGCUUAACUCUAGAACUGCAAUUGAUACUAUCUGUCUUGAAUAUUGUGGAGGUAAGCGGAAUAUGUCAUGUAGCGGUGAAAUGCUUAGAUAUGACAUAGAACACCUAUUGCGAAGGCAGCUUACUACGCAUAUAUUGACGCUGAGGCACGAAAGCGUGGGGAUCAAACAGGAUUAGAUACCCUUGUAGUCC
rnacentral:rRNA from 1 species